rnacentral:rRNA from 1 species
AGAGUUUGAUUCUGGCUCAGAACGAACGCUGGCAGCGCGGAUUAGGCAUGCAAGUCGAACGAGAAUCCGUUGUUUCAAGUUUUCGGACUAGAAAUGGCGGAGGAGAGUGGCGGAAGGGUGAGGAACACGUGGGUAAUCUACCUCCAAGAUGGGGAUAACUUCUCGAAGGAGGAGCUAAUACCGAAUGUGGUCGCCCCACGCAUGUGGGGACGAUUGAAGGCGGGGAUCCUUCGGGACCUGUCGCUUGGUGAGGAGCCCGCGUCCCAUCAGCUUGUUGGUGAGGUAAUGGCUCACCAAGGCUUACGGGUAGCUGGUCUGAGAGGAUGGUCAGCCACACUGGGACUGAGACACUGCCCAGACUCCUACGGGAGGCUGCAGUCGAGGAUCAUUGUCAAUGCACGAAAGUGUGAACAUGCGACGCUGCGUGGAGGAUGACGGCUUUCGGGUUGUAAACUCCUGUCAUCCGGGAAAAACGAGUGGGCCGUUAAUAGCGGUUCGCAGUGAUGGUACCGGAAGAGGAAGCCACGGCUAACUCUGUGCCAGCAGCCGCGGUAAUACAGAGGUGGCGAGCGUUGUUCGGAUUUACUGGGCGUAAAGAGUGCGUAGGCGGCUUUGUAUGUCGGAUGUGAAAGCCCAUGGCCCAACCGUGGAAUUGCAUUCGAAACUGCGGAGCUAGAGUGCAGGAGAGGAGAGCGGAAUUCCUGGUGUAGCGGUGAAAUGCGUUGAUAUCAGGAAGAACACCGGUGGCGAAGGCGGCUCUCUGGAAUGUUACUGACACUGAGGCACGAAAGCUGGGGGAGCGAACAGGAUUAGAUACCCUGGUAGUCCCAGCUGUAAACGGUGUGCACUUGGUGUAGGGGGUAUUGAUCCCCUCUGUGCCGGAGCUAACGCGUUAAGUGCACUGCCUGGGGAGUACGGCCGCAAGGCUAAAACUCAAAGAAAUUGACGGGGGCCCGCACAAGCGGAGGAGCAUGUGGCUCAAUUCGAUGCAACGCGAAUAACCUUACCAGGGCUUGACAUGUAGCCCACGCCCGCCGAAAGGUGGGAAGCCUUCGAGGGUGCUACACAGGUGCUGCAUGGCUGUCGCCAGUUCGUGCCGUGAGGUGUUGGGUUAAGUCCCGCAACGAACGCAACCCUUGUGUCUAGUUGCCACCGGAGGUGAUGAGCCUUCGAGCACUCUAGACAGACUGCCCGUACAAGCGGGAGGAAGGUGGGGAUGACGUCAAGUCAGUAUGGCCCUUACGUCCUGGGCUGCACACGUGCUACAAUGGUCGGUACAGUGGGAUGCGAGACCGCGAGGUGGAGCAAAUCCCCAAAGCUGACCUCAGUUCGGAUUGGAGUCUGCAACUCGACUCCAUGAAGUUGGAUUCGCUAGUAACGGCGUAUCAACUACGGCGCCGUGAAUACGUUCCCGGGCCUUGUACACACCGCCCGUCGCAUCAUGAAAGCCGUCUGCACCCGAAGUCGCUGACCCAACUUGCAAAAGAGGGAGGUGCCGAAGGUGUGGGUGGUGAUUGGGAUGAAGUCGAACAAGGUA